rnacentral:lncRNA from 1 species
CUGGAGAUGGCCCUGGGCCGCAGCUCCCUCUCUAGAUGGGAUCCCGGGAGAGGGGCAGCGCUGGCUUGGGCUCUUGAAGGUGUGGGCCGCCGCCAGGCUCCGGCCGCCCGCUCGCGUUCCUCCCUCGGGACCCUCUGGCUGGCUGCGCACAGCUGCUUCCGGCUCCUGCCAUGGUUCUCCUUCUCUGGCCCAUCCGGCCUAGAGCAGUUGCAGAGUGGGCAGGAUCUUAAGACCCGAUAGGUGCAGAACCCAUCUGGACACGGAGACCAGGAAUGGAGUUCCAUGGAGGCCUGGCUGGCACUGCACCCGGGCAUGAGGACACAUCCAGUAAGAAGACCUGCCUCAAGAGGUGCACUGCGGUGACCAGUGGAGGUGACUGGUUGGAGCCUGGAAUUGGAAGCAGAUUCCAAGCUCUGGUGGACAAACUCUCCAGGCCUGGUGGGAAUCACAGCUGGGGCAGACCUCAUCCUGGCUGCCUGGCCACAGGCCCCCACUCUCUGCCACUGGUGGUAGGACGAUGCCUGUGUGGAGAGCUGGCUUCUCUGCUCCCGCCUGGUCCACCACUUGGCUAGAGUUCAGAGACAGGAAGUGAUUGGUCUAAGCUAACACAGCAAGUUGGUGGCAGACCUGGUUCUAGAGGCAAAACCUUCUUCCAGAUGUGAAUGAAACCUGCAGGCUUCAUUUUCCUUUCUGAGCAGUGCUUCUUAGCUCUUUGGAGACACGAAGCCCUUGGAAAAUCUGAUGAAGGUUACGGACCUUCCCUAGGAAAACAGAUAACUGACGUAGACUCAAAAACCCCAAGCAAUUUCAGGAGCCACUGGACUCCCUGAAUGAAACCCAUCCCUGGACUCCAGGCUAAGAACCUCAGCCCUGGGGACUUCACCUGCUGCCCUUUCCUUACCUGUCACACAUUGAGCCCCGAGUCAAGGCCACUGUACAAGUAGUGCCCCUCCCUCCCCCUGGCCAAGCCUCCUUCCCUUGUUCAGGAAUAAAGAAUUCCGAGGAGCCCUUUUUAGUCAUUCCCUUCUCCCAGACCUAACGAAUGGUGCGUCAGGUUUCUGGAGCCUCA